rnacentral:rRNA from 1 species
UACAGAGGGUGCAAGCGUUACUCGGAAUUACUGGGCGUAAAGCGUGCGUAGCCGGUUAUGUAAGUCAGGUGUGAAAGCCCCGGGCUCAACCUGGGAAUUGCAUUUGAGACUGCAUAGCUAGGGUGCGGAAGAGGGAAGCGGAAUUUCCGGUGUAGCGGUGAAAUGCGUAGAUAUCGGAAGGAACAUCAGUGGCGAAAGCGGCUUCCUAGUCCAGCACCGACGUUCAGGCACGAAAGCGUGGGGAGCAAACAGG